rnacentral:rRNA from 1 species
CCUACGGGUGGCAGCAGCCAGGAAUCUUGCGCAAUGGGCGAAAGCCUGACGCAGCAACGCCGCGUGGGCGAUGAAGGCCUUCGGGUCGUAAAGCCCUGUUGUCGGGGACGAAGGGCGAAGGGUUAAUAGCCCCUAGCCUGACGGUACCCGACGAGGAAGCCCCGGCUAACUACGUGCCAGCAGCCGCGGUAAUACGUAGGGGGCGAGCGUUGUCCGGAAUCAUUGGGCGUAAAGAGCGUGUAGGCGGCCCGGUAAGUCCGCUGUGAAAACCCGGGGCUCAACCCCGGGCGUGCAGUGGAAACUGCCGGGCUAGAGGGCGGCAGAGGCGAGUGGAAUUCCCGGUGUAGCGGUGAAAUGCGCAGAUAUCGGGAGGAACACCGGUAGCGAAGGCGGCUCGCUGGGCCGUUCCUGACGCUGAGACGCGAAAGCUAGGGGAGCGAACAGGAUUAGAUACCCCUGUAGUC